AAACAAAACAUCUAAAUCGAAGUUUGUAAAAAUAUCUAAAAUUAAAUUUUCUUUUUUUACUUAUUCGUACAAUAAGAGCUUCUCAACCUUUGGUCUACGUAUGUUUGUUUGUCUAUGUAGAUUCCUCAGAUGUCAAUCUAAAAAUUCCCAAAUAUUCUCAAUCCUGAACUUCUGGGUAGACAUUAUAUAACCUAUGAAUUAAACAAAAGUGCUUGUUGAUUUUCAAUUAUGACCAUCGCAUUCUAAAAUCUACAGGUUCGAAGCUCGAAAUAAUCAUUAAAACUUAAGCAUUUUUUAAAGAUGUACUUAUUCUAUAAUCCAUUUAGUGACUUAAACUUGAAGCAUUGGUAGAAGAAUAAGGCUGCUCACCUACGUGUUUAUGUGUAAAUUGAUUUAACUAUGUUGAUUGCAUGCUCAAAACACUCCUUCUGAAAAAGAACUAUUUACAAAUACGUAUAUAUAGUCCUUGGGAAAAAAUAUAACAUUUUUAUCGUUUCUUCCAGCUUACACCUACAAUGUUAAGUAGGGUAUCAGUGCUGAUUAAAAGCUGAAACCUCGAUACGUUUUAUCAACUUCUUGUUUCCCGUAAAGAAAAUGCUCAAAGUUUAAGUAGAUGAUCGUAGAAAAACUUAUAAAGGAAUGAGUGAAGAAAAGCAUCCUGUGGAUUUGCACAGCAUUAAGUCUAACGGCUUACAGUGAAUUUUGUAUUCAUAAAAAGUAGGCACUUGGUGGAAAAUCACAAUAUACCCGCUGGAUUCUCAUAAGUAGUCAAUAAACAAUGUAACCCAGCAAAGCUUGACACGAUACAGAAUGACCAAAACAACCGUCCUACUGGAGCGAGAAACAUAAUAACGAUCAGAGUGACAGCACAAACACCAGGGAUGGAAUACUUGGGAUCUAAUCUUAUAUUUUGAUUAAUGGUCAAGCUUCCCAAGCCAUGCAUAACAAAACUUAGAAAAACACCAACCAUUAGAGCUAACAAAGCAAAUGGGUACCAGAUGAAGAAAUAAAGCCAGCAAAUACAAAGCAAAGUUCCAUAGAAUCUAUAAUUGUCUUGAAAAUUCUUUUGUAUUCUGGGUUUAACAGCAUACAUACGAGGUAAAGAGACCUUUCCCAUUCGUACAUAUUCAUCUUGCGCUGCUACCGCAACAUAUGUUUUAUGAGUGGAUAUGGAAUUCUGGUGCAAUGAACAUAGCACUCGGUGUAAUUUAUUUUCUAACUUCAUCAUCAGGAAGAUUGAUGUGUGGAAAUGGGAAACGUUUUGGCUCCUCCAGUAAUGGCGCCCAUCGAUGGUUUGUUUACAUUCUCUAAUCGCUACCGUAAACAACUUUUCGUAGAUUCAAUUCACAUUAAUC